GCCAAACCAUGACAUCCUCUUUAGCUUUUUCCAUUGUUUCUAACAAAUUUAUCUCAAGCCAAAAUACAUGCUUUUCAACUUGGUGGAUAUUCCACUAGGAAUUUAAAAAAAAAAAAAGAUAAAAGGGCAAAUCUGUAAUUAAAAGGAGAAGCAAGGGUUAAUUUGCUGCCAUUAUUGUGUUUUCUUCUACCUCCCACAGAAUCCUUAUUUCGUGCCUCUCUCUUCCAUUUUCAAACCCUUGAGAGAGACACACAAAAUUGC
rnacentral:misc_RNA from 1 species